GCCUGUGUAGCUCAGCGGUAGAGCACUUCCUUGGUAAGGAAGAGGUCCCGAGUUCAAGUCUCGGCACUGGCUCAA
rnacentral:tRNA from 1 species